UGAUUGCAGCACUCUGUGAUCACACAGGUAGACACACAGGUAGACACACAGGUAGACACACAGGUAGACACACAGGUGAGCACACAGGUAGACACACAGGUGAGCACACAGCUGAGCACACAGGUAGACACACAGGUAGACACACAGGUAGACACACAGGUAGACACACAGGUGAGCUCCACAGGGCCCGCAGUGGAAAAGACACUGGCUUAAAUGAGUAUACUAGAAGCUAGAUGGCUAGUUAGCUGCUGAAGCUACACGAGUGGUAAGCUGUUAGUUGCUGUGAGGACGGACUCAUCAGUGCUCCCCGUGUCUUCGGCCAUGGCCUCCGAUAGCCCCUCCUCCCAAGCAGCUUCCACCUACCUGACCGCGCACACCAACGAGAUGGUGGAGCUGCAGCACCUGAACGGCCGCUUAACCAGCUACAUCGAGAGGUUGCACUUCCUGGAGCAGCAGAACCAGACGCUGGCGGCGGAGGUGAAGCGGCUGCGAGGCCGUAAGCUCACGCGCUUUGAAAGGUAUGAGAGCCAGGUGGGAGGAGCCAGGUGGGAGGGGCCAGGGGGCGUGUGUGUGUGAUGGACAGAAGAUUUCUGUGUAUUGUUGUGUGUUUGAGUGAAAGAGAAAACAACAUUUGUGUGAGUUUUUCAGCAGCUGAGAGGGAAACUGUGAAAGUGACUUUAGAGAAGAAGUCAGGCUGAAGAAGAAAGAUCUGCCGAUUUAAUCAUGAAGAUGACGUGAUGAUGAUGACGAUGAUGGACGUCCGUCAUCUGGUUGUUCUGGUGACAGGAAGUGUCCUUAAAAAGGAUUCUUAUUUGUAGACUUUAACAUGACCAAAGUUGAAUUAGGAGUAUUUCCAUUUUUGGUUUUCGUUUAACAGCUUUGAGGAAAAAGUAAGUUCAAUAUCCAGCAAUUCCACAGUAUCAGAGGAACAAUCUUUUCAUUGAGUAAAAGUGACCGUCAGUACAACGUACAUUAAUAUUAGAGAGGUAGUACUAUGCAGCAUGUUAUAUUUUCAUACUGGAAUAUGUUUGUUGGUGUGAUCAAAAAAGCUUCUCAGAUGAACCCGACGUUGAUGUCGAUGAUGUCGUUGUCUCACCUGCUCCUCCAGGCUCAUGGAGCAGACUCCCCAGAAGGAGGACGUGGAGAGCAACCUGGCUGCUUCCGGGGGGGUGACGCCUGUGUAGCGUGUCUCCACCCACAGCUUCUCCACAACGCAGAAGAAGCUCCUCCUGACGUUUCUCGUAUGUCUUCCUUCAUGUGCAGAGCUGCUGACCGUUAAAAGCAAUGUGGACGCCUCUGACCCGUUUGUCUUACUAUGCUAAAAAUCACAGCUCAACAUUGUUAAGGAACAACAAGGCAGCUCGCUGAGGUAGAGUGAAGAAAAGAGGAUGUCUUCAGAGAUACAGAACAGCGGAGCGAAGUGAAUGACCAGCGAGAGAAGAGGCCUAAGGGGCACGUGUGAGGGAGUAACGCUGUACAUCAGUAACAACGUUGUAUCUUUACCGUGAAGGACAUGAGUGAGUCUCUGUACCUGCAACAUCUGCUCCACCGUCAGCUUCAUCAACGGGUCGACAUCAUGUGAGGAGGAGCAGAGAGAAGAAGAGACGACGAGGGACAAGAACAUAGAGACUCUUCUGGGUUAAAGCGUGAGCAGCAGAGUGAUGCUGUUAUUCACUCUAUUGGGAUGUAUUUAUCUGUGGUUUAAUGUAUAUAUAUUAUAUUAUAUUUCCGAGAAUAACUGAGACGGACUUGAUUUGUUUUUUGUAUCAAUUCACAAUAAAAUGAACAUAAUUGCAUCAGAGAGGCUGCUGACAAAUAAAAGAAUUUUCCAAUGGCCUAAAAAAUAAAACACUGCAUGAACUUCCUGAUUUCUGUCUAUUUAAGUUAAAUGGAAUGAGGAAACAUUUAUUGUCAUAAUUUGUCAGACAUACAAGGAAUGUGACUUGGCGGUUGGUGCGUAACAGCAGAC
ensembl:lncRNA